rnacentral:rRNA from 1 species
CGGGUUGUAAAGCACUUUAAGCAGGGAGAAAAAGUUAUAGGUUAAUACCCUAUGACCCUGAUGUUACCUGCAGAAUAAGCACCGGCUAAUUCCGUGCCAGCAGCCGCGGUAAUACGGAAGGUGCAAGCGUUAAUCGGAAUUACUGGGCGUAAAGCGCGCGUAGGUGGUUUGUUAAGUUGGAUGUGAAAGCCCUGGGCUCAACCUAGGAACUGCAUCCAAAACUAACUCACUAGAGUACGAUAGAGGGAGGUAGAAUUCAUAGUGUAGCGGUGGAAUGCGUAGAUAUUAUGAAGAAUACCAGUGGCGAAGGCGGCCUCCUGGAUCUGUACUGACACUGAGGUGCGAAAGCGUGGGUAGCGAACAGGAUUAGAUACCCUGGUAGUCCACGCCGUAAACGAUGACAACUAGCUGUUGGGAGACUAUGUCUUUCAGUGGCGCAGCUAACGCUUUAAGUUGUCCGCCUGGGGAGUACGGCCGCAAGGCUAAAACUCAAAUGAAUUGACGGGGACCCGCACAAGCGGUGGAGCAUGUGGUUUAAUUCGAUGCAACGCGAAAAACCUUACCUACUCUUGACAUACUUGGAAGCUCUUGUAAUGAGAGUGUGCCUUUUGGAGCCAAGAUACAGGUGCUGCAUGGCUGUCGUCAGCUCGUGUCGUGAGAUGUUCCGUUAAGUCGGAUAACGAGCGCAACCCUUACCCUUAUUUGCCAGCGAUUCGGUCGGGAACUAUAAGGGGACUGCCGGUGAUAAACCGGAGGAAGGUGAGGACGACGUCAAGUCAUCAUGGCCCUUACGAGUAGGGCUACACACGUGCUACAAUGGGGAAUACAGACG